GCAUCGGUGGUUCAGUGGUAGAAUGCUUCCGCCUGCCACGCGCGGGCGGCCCGCCAAGUUGAUUCCCGGCCGAUGCA